UGGGGAAUAUUGCACAAUGGGGGAAACCCUGAUGCAGCGACGCCGCGUGAGCGAAGAAGGCCUUCGGGUCGUAAAGCUCUUUUAUGAGGGAAGAUAAUGACGGUACCUCAAGAAAAAGCCCCGGCUAACUACGUGCCAGCAGCCGCGGUAAUACGUAGGGGGCUAGCGUUGUCCGGAAUCACUGGGCGUAAUGGGUUCGCAGGCGGAAUAACAAGUCAGAUGUGAAAGGCAUGGGCUCAACCCAUGUAAGCAUUUGAAACUGUAAUUCUUGAGAAGUGGAGAGGUAAGUGGAAUUCCUAGUGUAGCGGUGAAAUGCGUAGAUAUUAGGAGGAAUACCUGUGGCGAAGGCGACUUACUGGACACAAAUCUGACGCUGAGGAACGAAAGCGAGGGUAGCAAACAGG
rnacentral:rRNA from 1 species